rnacentral:rRNA from 1 species
CCUACGUGAGGCUGCAGUGGGGAAUAUUGGACAAUGGGGGGAACCCUGAUCCAGCGACGCCGCGUGAGUGAAGCAGUAUUUCGGUAUGUACCGCUCUAUCAGCAGGGAAGAAAAUGACGGUACCUGACUAAGAAGCACCGGCUAACUACGUGCCAGCAGCCGCGGUAAUACGUAGGGGGCAAGCGUUCUCCGGAUUUACUGGGUGUAAAGGGAGCGUAGACGGUGCAGCAAGUCUGAUGUGAAAGGUCGGGGCCCAACCCCGGGACUGCAUUGGACACUGUUGAACUGGAGUACAGGAGAGGUAAGCGGAAUUCCUAGUGUAGCGGUGAAAGGCGGAGAUAGCAGGAGGAACACCGGCGGCGAAGGCGGCCUGCUGGACCGCGACUGACGUGGAGGCUCGAAAGCGUGGGGAGCGAACAGGAUUAGAUACCCGAGUAGUC